rnacentral:rRNA from 1 species
GACUCCGUGAAUCUGGAUUCGCUAGUAAUCGCGCAUCAGCCAUGGCGCGGUGAAUACGUUCCCGGGCCUUGUACACACCGCCCGUCAAGCCAUGGAAGCCGGGGGUGCCUGAAGUGUGCAGCCGCAAGGAGCGCCCUAAGGUAAAACCGGUGACUGGGGCUAAGUCGUAACAAGGUACC